GAUGAACGCUAGCUACAGGCUUAACACAUGCAAGUCGAGGGGAAACGACAUCGAAAGCUUGCUUUUGAUGGGCGUCGACCGGCGCACGGGUGAGUAACGCGUAUCCAACCUGCCCAUCACUUGGGAAUAACCUUGCGAAAGUAAGACUAAUACCCAAUGACAUCCCACGAAGACAUCUGAAUGGGAUUAAAGAUUUAUCGGUGACGGAUGGGGAUGCGUCUGAUUAGCUUGUUGGCGGGGUAACGGCCCACCAAGGCAACGAUCAGUAGGGGUUCUGAGAGGAAGGUCCCCCACAUUGGAACUGAGACACGGUCCAAACUCCUACGGGAGGCAGCAGUGAGGAAUAUUGGUCAAUGGGCGAGAGCCUGAACCAGCCAAGUAGCGUGCAGGAGGACGGCCCUAUGGGUUGUAAACUGCUUUUAUAAGGGAAUAAAGUGGGUCUCGUGAGACUUUUUGCAUGUACCUUAUGAAUAAGGACCGGCUAAUUCCGUG
rnacentral:rRNA from 1 species